rnacentral:rRNA from 1 species
CGUGAGAUGUUGGGUUAAGUCCCGCAACGAGCGCAACCCUUGUUUUUAGUUGCCAUCCUUAAGUUGGGCACUCUGAAAAGACUGCCAGUGACAAACUGGAGGAAGGUGGGGAUGACGUCAAGUCCUCAUGGCCCUUACGAGUAGGGCUACACACGUGCUACAAUG